GACGAACGCUGGCGGCGUGCUUAACACAUGCAAGUCGAACGGAAAGGCCCUGCUUUUGUGGGGUGCUCGAGUGGCGAAAGGGUGAGUAACACGUGAGUAACCUGCCCUUGACUUUGGGAUAACUUCAGGAAACGGGGGCUAAUACCGGAUAGGAUCUCCUGCUGCAGGGUGGGGGUUGGAAAGUUUCGGCGGUUGGGGAUGGACUCGCGGCUUAUCAGCUUGUUGGUGGGGUAGUGGCUUACCAAGGCUUUGACGGGUAGCCGGCCUGAGAGGGUGACCGGCCACAUUGGGACUGAGAUACGGCCCAGACUCCUACGGGAGGCAGCAGUGGGGAAUAUUGCACAAUGGGCGGAAGCCUGAUGCAGCAACGCCGCGUGCGGGAUGACGGCCUUCGGGUUGUAAACCGCUUUCGCCUGUGACGAAGCGUGAGUGACGGUAAUGGGUAAAGAAGCACCGGCUAACUACGUG
rnacentral:rRNA from 1 species